UAGAGACAGAGACAGUGUGUUAUAAUCUGUAGGAUUCUAGAGACAGUGUGUUAUAAUCUGUAGGAUUCUAGAGACAGUGUGUUAUAAUCUGUAGGAUUCUAGAGACAGAGACAGUGUGUUAUAAUCUGUAGCAUUCUAGAGACAGAGACAGUGUGUUAUAAUCUGUAGGAUUCUAGAGACAGACAGUGUGUUAUAAUCUGUAGGAUUCUAGGCACAGAGAGACAGACAGUGUGUUAUAAUCUGCAGGAUUCUAGAGACAGAGACAGUGUGUUAUAAUCUGUAGGAUUCUAGAGACAGUGUGUUAUAAUCUGUAGGAUUCUAGAGACAGUGUGUUAUAAUCUGUAGGAUUCUAGAGACAGAGACAGUGUGUUAUAAUCUGUAGGAUUCUAGAGACAGUGUGUUAUAAUCUGUAGGAUUCUAGAGACAGAGUGUUAUAAUCUGUAGGAUUCUAGAGACAGAGACAGUGUGUUAUAAUCUGUAGGAUUCUAGAGACAGUGUGUUAUAAUUUGUAGGAUUCUAGAGACAGAGACAGUGUGUUAUAAUCUGUAGGAUUCUAGAGACAGUGUGUUAUAAUCUGUAGGAUUCUAGAGACAGUGUGUUAUAAUCUGUAGGAUUCUAGAGACAGAGACAGUGUGUUAUAAUCUGUAGGAUUCUAGAGACAGAGACAGUGUAUUAUAAUCUGUAGGAUUCUAGAGACAGAGACAGUGUGUUAUAAUCUGCAGGAUUCUAGAGACAGAGACAGUGUGUUAUAAUCUGCAGGAUUCUAGAGACAGAGACAGUGUGUUAUAAUCUGUAGGAUUGUAGAGACAGUGUGUUAUAAUAUGUAGGACUCGAGAGACAGUGUGUUAUAAUCUGUAGGACUCGAGAGACAGUGUGUUAUAAUCUGUAGCAUUCUAGAGACUGAGACAGUGUGUUAUAAUCUGCAGGAUUCUAGAGACAGAGACAGUGUGUUAUAAUCUGCAGGAUUCUAGAGACAGAGACAGUGUGUUAUAAUCUGCAGGAUUCUAGGGACAGAGACAGUGUGUUAUAAUCUGUAGAAUUCUAGAGACAGA
rnacentral:lncRNA from 1 species